GAAAAAUCCCAGGAUAUGCUUCCCAUAAAACCUCAGUUGCCUGAUUUUCCAUUGGCCUUUCAACUUCAGUUGGCAGCUCUCCUACCUGUGACCCAGCUAUACUGCUAGCAAGGACAAAUUGUAUUCCAGAAGGAUCUGUGUAACAGACUCUGGGUAUUGGUUUAUAGGCCUCCACUGCUGCCACUACUACAACUGCUGUGUCUGAGCUGGAGCGGUGGGUCAAUUCUCAUUCAUCUGGAGCCCAACCGAUGCUCUUCCAGACAAUGCCACCACACCUCGAUCACAAUGGUCCUCUGCCAUCCACUCCGCCGAAAGUGCCUCUCUUUCACCAUCCGGGCCUAGCUGUGGACCUGGUGCCUUGGCUGAGCCUGUGUGUCUGGGCUGGGGGAUCCAGGUUGGGACCUGCUUCACGCUUGCAGGAGACCCCGGACUGUGGUGGAGCUGCAUUCAACUCAUCCUGGUGUUGCUGUUGCUUGCAUCUGCCAACUGAGGUUCGUAUGAUGCACAUGUUUGCUUCGGAGAGCUCCUGGAACUCCCUUCCUCAUGGCACUGUGUGUGCAUCUACACCAAAUGGUCUGAGCAAUUCAAUGAAGCAGCUGACUAGCAUCUUCUCAAGGGCACGUAGGAAUGGGCAAUACAUUGGAGCACAGCCAGCGAUACCCACAUUCCAUAACUGGAAAACAAAGUUGCGAUCUCACUUGUCAUACAAAGAUAAACUGGUGGAUCCUUGGUGAUAUGAUCAAUGUGUCAUGGGAAUGAUCUGGCUGACAGAUCAUCCCAAAAAGGACUUUCCUUGAGGAUGGAUGAAGCCAAAGUGGCAGGUGAUCAAUAAAAUCCUGUUUUAGGUGCAGCUUUAAAGACAUGUAGCUGAACAAAUGUUGCAACUUAGGAGAUACUGCCAAACUAUGUAUAACAAAACACUGAUUCCAAUCACUGGCAGAAUCGCAGAGAAGUGCCAAUACUCAAGCUCAUCUUGGCUUCCUGAGAUCUUCUACUUGGUUGGUUCCAACAGUCAAGUAGGGGCAGAACUAUCAAGAUGCACAGAUCUCAGUGGAGUUACAAUUCACAAGAUUCAACUAAUAACCACUGGCAGAGCACAUGAGACAAUCAAAUCAAUAAAUGAUUUCUGUACCCAAAUGAA